GAUGAAGUACGUAGCGAAAUGCGAUAAGUAGUGUGAAUUGCAGAAUUCAGUGAAUCAUCGAAUCUUUGAACGCACAUUGCGCCCGCCAGUAUUCUGGCGGGCAUGCCUGUUCGAGCGUCAUUUCAACCCUCAAGCACAGCUUGGUGUUGGGACUCGCGUUAAUUCGCGUUCCUCAAAUUGAUUGGCGGUCACGUCGAGCUUCCAUAGCGUAGUAGUAAAACCCUCGUUACUGGUAAUCGUCGCGGCCACGCCGUUAAACCCCAACUUCUGAAUGUUGACCUCGGAUCAGGUAGGAAUACCCGCUGAACUUAAGCAUAUCAAUAAGCGGAGGA
rnacentral:misc_RNA from 1 species